rnacentral:rRNA from 1 species
UACGAAGGGUGCUAGCGUUGCUCGGAAUCACUGGGCGUAAAGGGUGCGUAGGCGGGUUUUUAAGUCAGGGGUGAAAUCCUGGAGCUCAACUCCAGAACUGCCUUUGAUACUGAAGAUCUUGAGUCCGGGAGAGGUGAGUGGAACUGCGAGUGUAGAGGUGAAAUUCGUAGAUAUUCGCAAGAACACCAGUGGCGAAGGCGGCUCACUGGCCCGGUACUGACGCUGAGGCACGAAAGCGUGGGGAGCAAACAGG